UACGUAGGGUGCGAGCGUUACUCGGAAUUACUGGGCGUAAAGCGUGCGCAGGCGGUUAUUUAAGUCAGGUGUGAAAGCCCUGGGCUUAACCUAGGAACUGCGCUUGAGACUGGAUAGCUUGGAGUGCGGCAGAGGGAGGUGGAAUUCCACGUGUAGCAGUGAAAUGCGUAGAGAUGUGGAGGAACACCGAUGGCGAAGGCAGCCUCCUGGGCCAGCACUGACGCUCAUGCACGAAAGCGUGGGGAGCAAACAGG
rnacentral:rRNA from 1 species